CAAGACCUUGCGCUCUUAGAGCGGCCGAUGUCUGAUUAGCUAGUUGGUGAGGUAAAGGCUUACCAAGGCGACGAUCAGUAGCUGGUCUGAGAGGACGACCAGCCACACUGGGACUGAGACACGGCCCAGACUCCUACGGGAGGCAGCAGUGGGGAAUUUUGGACAAUGGGGGAAACCCUGAUCCAGCCAUGCCGCGUGAGUGAAGAAGGCCGUCGGGUUGUAAAGCUCUUUCAGCCGGAAGGAAAAGGUCACGGCUAAUACCUGUGAUCACUGACGGUGCCGGAAGAAGAAGCACCGGCUAACUACGUGCCAGCAGCCGCGGUAAUACGUGGGGUGCAAGCGUUAACCGGAAUUACUGGGCGUAAAGCGUGCGCAGGCGGCUUUGUAAGUCAGAGGUGAGAUCGCCGGGCUUAACCUGGGAACU
rnacentral:rRNA from 1 species